CGGGAUGUGGCUCAGUUUGGUAGAGCGCUUGGUUCGGGACCAAGAGGUCGGCAGUUCGAAUCUGCCCGUCCCGACCA
rnacentral:tRNA from 1 species